rnacentral:rRNA from 1 species
CCUACGGGAGGCAGCAGUGAGGGAUAUUGCGCAAUGGGCGAAAGCCUGACGCAGCGACGCCGCGUGGGCGAGGAAGGCCUUCGGGUUGUAAAGCCCUUUUGGCAGGGAAGAGCAAGGACUGUACCUGCAGAACAAGUCACGGCUAACUACGUGCCAGCAGCCGCGGUAAAACGUAGGUGGCGAGCGUUAUCCGGAAUCACUGGGCGUAAAGCGCGUGUAGGCGGCCUUGUAAGUCGGAUGUGAAAGCCCUCGGCUCAACCGGGGAAGGGCAUCCGAAACUGCUUGGCUCGAGUGCCGGAGAGGGAGGCGGAAUUCCCAGUGUAGAGGUAAAAUUCGUAGAUAUUGGGAGGAACACCGGUGGCGAAAGCGGCCUCCUGGACGGCUACUGACGCUGAGACGCGAAAGCGGGGGGAGCAAACAGGAUUAGAUCCCCCUGUAGU